rnacentral:rRNA from 1 species
CCAGACUCCUACGGGAGGCAGCAGUAGGGAAUUUUCGGCAAUGGACGGAAGUCUGACCGAGCAACGCCGCGUGAAUGAUGAAGUAUUUCGGUAUGUAAAGUUCUUUUAUUUGGGAAGAAAAAACAAAUUGACGGUACCAAAUGAAUAAGCCCCGGCUAACUACGUGCCAGCAGCCGCGGUAAUACGUAGGGGGCAAGCGUUAUCCGGAAUUAUUGGGCGUAAAGGGUGCGUAGGCGGGUUAUCAAGUCUUUGGUUAAAAUGCGGUGCUCAACGCCGUAGUGCCAAAGAAACUGAUAGUCUAGAGUAUGGUAGAAGUGAGUGGAACUCCAUGUGUAGCGGUAAAAUGCGUAAAUAUAUGGAAGAACACCAGUGGCGAAGGCGGCUCACUAGGCCAAUACUGACGCUGAGACACGAAAGCGUGGGGAGCAAACAGGAUUAGAUACCCUGGUAGUCCACGCCCUAAACGAUGAGUACUAAGUGUAGCCAGAAGGCUGUGCUGAAGUUAACGCAUUAAGUACUCCGCCUGAGUAGUACGUACGCAAGUAUGAAACUUAAAGGAAUUGACGGGAUCCCGCACAAGCGGUGGAGCAUGUUGUUUAAUUCGACGAUACGCGAAGAACCUUACCAGGUCUUGACAUACUCGGCAAAUCUAUAGAGAUAUAGAGGAGGUUAACCGGGAUACAGGUGGUGCAUGGUUGUCGUCAGCUCGUGUCGUGAGAUGUUAGGUUAAGUCCUGCAACGAGCGCAACCCUUAUUGCUAGUUACCAUCAUUAAGUUGGGGACUCUAGCGAGACUGCCGGUGAUAAACCGGAGGAAGGCGGGGAUGACGUCAAAUCAUCAUGCCCUUUAUGACCUGGGCUACAAACGUGCUACAAUGGCUGACACAAAGAGAAGCGAGCUCGCGAGAGUAAGCAAACCUCAGAAAAGCAGUCUCAGUUCGGAUUGAAGUCUGCAACUCGACUUCAUGAAGUUGGAAUCGCUAGUAAUCGCGAAGCAGAGUGUCGCGGUGAAUACGUUCCCGGGAUUUGUACACACCGCCCGUCAAACCAUGAGAGUUUGUAAUACCCGAAGCCGGUGGCCGAACCGCAAGGAAGGAGCCGUCUAAGGUAGGACAGAUGAUUGGGGUUAAGUCGUAACAAGGUAUCCCUACGAGAACGUGGGGAUG